UUGAUGUUGGCGAGCGGCGCGUGUGCAAAAGAUUGAGUGCGUCUGCUAUAUCGGAUUUGUAUUACACGCGUAAAUCUCGGAGGUUUCUUUUAGUAUUUUGCGGAUUCUGAAUGUGAACGGAAGUCGAGUCGAAUUUGCGUUCUUGUGUGUGAGUGCGCGGAUGCGGAUGUGAAGUAAGAAAGUUCUGUAUCAAUGUGGCAGUAGAGUCGCAAAAGCAGCAGCAACAAUAACAACAUAGGCAAAGUAAAGAACAUAGAAAAGUUAAAGGAAAUGAAAUAAAGGGAAGCUGUUGACUGCUGAUAUACAAAAAAGUCGGUACGGUGCGUUACUAUUUACUCGUCGUUGCGUUCGUUCGGUCGGGUCUAUGGUUGGACGGUUGUAUUCGCGUUUCCUCGAUAUUUCUUUUAUCUAUUUGGAAUUGCAUAAAUAAGCAAAGUGAUUUAAACGAAUUGAAAUUGAAUGCCGAAAAACUGCGGGCUAGAAUGUGUGAACGUAGAUAUGCAUAAAGUGUGUGCAAAAGUUGAAGAAAAAAACCAAAAGUACGUAGAGGCAAAUAGCAAAAGGUUAGUUGAAUCGUUGAGAAGAAACGAGCUGCAGCAGUGACAGCGCGGUCGAGAAAGCUCUGCAAAUCUGUUUGUGAAAAAGGAUGUGUUGUAGCAAUAUAAACAGCAUCGCAGAACGGGCAGAUGAAAAAUUUUAAAACUUAAAAAGCAAACAAAACAGAUCUAAAAUUUGUGAAACCACUUAAAAAACUGCUAAAAAAAGGGGCCUCCAUUAAGUGUUCUUGAAUGUUAAAAACAAAAUGCAAAUGAAAACGUGAGCAAAGGCAUAUUGUUUGGCAUAGAAAAAAAAACAGAAGUGCUUAGCCUUAAAAAUGUAUAAGCAAAACGCAUUGAUAAAUGCAAACUAAGCGAAAAAAAUUUAAAAAAAAAAGUUAAUACAAUGCAUUUAUGUUAAGCAGAGAACACUGACGCUCUGCUAUUUUUUUCCUUUUAAACCAGUAAAAAAUAGAAAAUUGCGAAAAAAUAAAUAAAUCAAAUAAAUAAUAAUUAAUUGCAAUGCGUGACAACUCCAAAAUUACAUAAGAUUUGUAUGUAUAAAUAUGAUUUGCGAAUACUAACAUGAAAAGCAAUUAUGAUCUUACAAAUUUAUUAAAUCGUAAAAGUGGAAAUCUAAAUCUGUGUCACAUAAUAGCCUAAAA